CUGGCGCGCUCCACGCGGCGAGGCGUCCGUAGGCUCCUCCCCUGGGCGCGGCCUCUGGCCGCCUGUGCUGCUGCCCAGGUGAUGCCGGCUCGGGCACGUGGCAUCCUAACUGUUCUGCCGCCGCCGGAGCCAGGGGGGAGCCGGUGAGAGAGAGCCGCAGCGGGGCUGGCAUCCGGAGUGCUGAGGUGAACUUGGGGCAGCAUCCUCAACUGUCUCCUUCCCUGCCCUGAAGGUCCCCAGGAGGCUGAGGGGCGGAGGGCCAGCGUAGCCUCGACUGCCGCCGGCUUUGGGGUCAGCACGUGGGGCACCCCGGGGGGGAGCGCGGAUGCCGCGGGGUCGAGCUGGGGCCGUGCCGCCUCGCCUGGGCGCUGCCUUCGGGACCGGGACUGUCCCGCCCGAAGCGCUGAGGAGGACCCGCGCGACCGUCUGAAUGCCCCUGAAGGCCCUCUGCGCCUCCUGGAGUCAGUUCCUGAGAAGGUACCGAAAGACUCAAGUUUUACGCUUCACGCUCUUUUUUUUUAGGCAGGGUAGGGGUGUGGAAGAGUGCGGUACAAGGCUCCCAGAACACUGGCACCCAAAUCUUUACUCUCCAUGCAAAGAUUUUAGAAGAGUCUUCUCUGAAGAAUCUGACAAUUCCCAAGAUACAGGCUUAAGAGGUUCUCCCAACAAAUUGCCCAUGCAGAUUAUCUUGCAGUGAAUCUCAAAAUCCUAUAAACCAUGUGCUCAAAUCUUCCAGACAGCUUUUUAGUCCUCUUAAUCAUAAGCAGACAACCAAAGAUUAUCACACCUGUGAGAAAAAAAACCCUAAAUGUGAGUUUUAGAGAUCAAAACAAAUAGAAAAAAACAGUACUGAGGAAAACAGGCUAUACAAGGAGAUGAGAAUUUUAAAACAAGUGAUAAUAAUAUUCUCAGAUUGAAUAGAUAGAUACUGCAUCCAUGAAACAGGAACAGACUGACAUUCAUGUAAGAAACUUUGAAAAAUAAAGAAAAUCUUGAAUAUUAAAAACAUGAUAGCAAAAAUGAAAAUGCUAGAAGGAUUGGAAAAGAAAAUUAAAGAAGUCUCCACAAAAGAGCAAUAAGCAAAGAGGAACCAUAAAAGAAUGAAAGCUAAGAGAGUAGAGGACCUGAGAGUUCAACCUACAAAUAUUACAGGAGGAAAUUAUCCAUAAAAUAUUCAAGAAAAAUGUCCAGAACUAAAGGACAUGAGUUUACAGAGUGAAUGAGCCCACCGAGUGCCCAGGAAAAUGGGUAAAAAUAGAUCUGUACCAAGAUACAUAACUGCAAAAUUUUAGAACACUUGGAGUAGAGCAGAUCCUACAAGCUUCCAGACAGAAGAAAUGUCAUAUGAAAAGGAACAGAAAUCACAAUGGCUUCAGACUUGUAAACAACACAACCAAAAGCAAGGACACAAGCUAGAGUAUAAACUUUGACUUUGUCUCUUUAUGUACCUUUGCCACUGUUGUUCUCUGCUGGGUCCCAAGUGCUUAGAGACAGUGCCAGGCAUAUAGUAGGUUCUCAAUAAAAAUUUAUUGAGAGAAAGAAAACAAUAGAGACGGCUUCAAAAUUCUGAAGAAAAAUUUCUUCUUGCGUAUAACUAAGCCAGUACAAUAUAUAUAUCAGUCAAAUAUGAAUUUAGAUAAAGACGUUUGCAAAGUCUCAAUUUACCCUCCCUAUACCCUUUCUCUAGAAACUAUGAGAGGAUAUCCUCUACCAAAACAAGAGUUACCCCAAAAAAGGCAAGGAAUAUGGGAAAUAGGAAAUCUGAUGCUUGGGGAGAGGCAAAGAACCCAUAGGAAGAUGGUGAAAAGAGAUCCCAGGAUAAUAAAUAUACAUCAGAAGUGUUAAUAAAUGGCAACCAGUUCAGAUUGGAGCAGUCACUAAGAUGCCCACUGCUUUGCCCAAGAACAGAGUGCCCUGGUUAUAUUGGCCCAGAUUUUUACAUGCACUUAGCUUGCCUGAACCAUGUGCUGAUGAAGUUCCUGCCCUCCCUUCUAUCCUGUCCCACCUAAAUUAACUGAGAAUAUGCAUUUUACUCCAUGAAAAUAUUCUGCUCCUAUAUAAUUCCUAAGGGCCAGAGGUAGGCCAAAAUUGAAAAUACAGCAGGAAAUACGCAAACAUCUUGACACCAUUCCCGAAACAUCCUGAACGAGACCUCUGCUACAGUCCAGCCAAAUGCUUCAACCGUGGUGACCCCUGUUUCCCAGCAUGCUUGCUUUGUGGAGAGUCCCCCAAGACCAUCCCCAGAUUUGCUAGGAAGACUCACAGAACUCAGCAUACGGUCAAGGCUAUGGUUUAUUACAGUGAAAGAACACAAAGCAAAAUCAGCAAAGGGAAAAGGGAAUGGGUUUUAUUGGGAAUUGGUCACGUGGGAACCCUCUGCCUAGCACAAGCCAAAAUUCCAGGCUCCCUGAAAGAAACAGCAUAAACCAUAUUGUUUGCACAGUUUAGGCAUAAAGGUCCACUCUUACCAUUUAGGGAAUGAUGAAACAACCCCCCCCCCCCCCGAGAUCCACGCUUCCAGAAACCAGCCAAGGACCAAUCUUCCCCAGGUAUUCCUUUAUAGCAGUGGAAAACGGACUGACACACUCUGGAAACAGCCCUUCCAAGUUCUGCGUUCCAUGUUCCAACCUCACUGGACUUCAGAUGGAGCCAAGGCACAAGCUAAGAGUUCUAUGAGGACACGUACCAUUUAUAUUGUUUAGGUGAAUGCCACAGAACAAAAGAGCGAAAGCAGCAGGAGAGAGACGUGAACCAACUUUUGACUGCCAGGAACAGAUGAACAGGCAGUGACUGACCUUUCCUCAAGCAUCUCUGUUUCCACAGCCCCGGGGCAGUGCAGUGUCUAGCAUGUGAGAUGUCUCCCUACGUUGUCCAGGCUGGUAACAACUUGUGGCCUCAAGCGAUCCUCCCACCUCAGCUUACCAAGUAACUGGGACCGUAGGCAUCAACCACUGUGCCCAGCUCAAGUGCAAGAAUUUAGAACUACACUAAGACAGAUGGAACUUGGUCCAGCUGUCCUGUCACUACCCCCAUUUUACAGAUGAGGAAGCUGAAGCUUAAAGAGAAGCAGCUUGCUCCAAAGUCAGUAGAGGAGGAACCAAGACAAAAGCAUACCUUCUCACUGGAGGUGGCAGGGAGGGAAGGCAUCUGGAAGGAGGGGCCUUUUCUAGGCAAGAGGAAUAGGAUGGGUGCAGAGGUGUGGGGGUGGAAGGAUGCAGGGUUUGGAAAUGAGGGCAGAAGCUGGUAGAACCAGGUUAUGAAGGGCCUCGCAGGCCCAGCCCAAGAAUCUAUAAGGAAGUCAGCACAAAAAAUGACAACUCCAUUAAUGACAGGGUGGCCAGAUCAAGGUGCCCACAACCUGGUCAAUUAGCCACCUAGGCAGAUUCUUGACAGCCAGGUGACCCCCAGCUAAGUGCAGACAGAAAAGAACUAUUAGCUCCUAGGCCAGCCAGACACAUCACGCCUGCUCAUUUCUCCUCCGGUUUCAGUUUCUCACCCAACCUGGGGGGGUGCGGUAUCUGAGGAUAAACAGUGCCCCCACCCCCUGGCACCUGUUAGACCAGCUGGGCCUGUUCUUUCGCUGGCUGAACAAGAGGUUGUGUUUGGGUGGGUCUCAAAGGCCUCUGCCCCUGUUUUGGCCAAGACAAAAAGGGAGCAGCAGUGGUGGGCAGAGCCGGCUUGCACCCCACCCUAGCUUUUUGCCCACCUCUCUGAAGUUGCAAAAGAGAUCCUCGUGAGAUUGCAGGGAGGAGCAAGGAGGGUUGGACACAAUCCCUGUCUUUCUCUAGCUUAAGAUUCAGCUUUCUUCCAAUUUUGGAUUUUCUACCCUUCAGUCUUUCUUCUUUCACAGAACUGCUUCCUUGUCUUCUCUUAUGAAUACAGACAGCUUCAUUCCUACUCCGCGAAAGGCUAAAAGCUUUACCAUAAACUUUUCAGAAUGAGACAUUAAUGAUGGUGAUCUAGAUUGGGGCUCACAUAAUUCUCACUUUCCUAAUUGUCCCAGUGCCUUGGAAGCCAUUUCCAACUGGAAGCCCCAGACAGAUGGCCAGUAGAUGGCGCCAAAGGUUAAUUACUACAUUUGGGCUGACUUGCUCCAAUUUGGUACAAUUCAAGUACAUACUCAGUUGUUCAUUCUGUACACAUAGGUGGCCUACCGGGUGCCAAGUUUUGAGAUGGGUUUGUAGAAUAAAGAGAUGAGAGGCCGGGGUGCGGUGGCUCACAUCUGUAAUGCUAGCACUCUG